rnacentral:lncRNA from 10 species
GAAGUGGGUAAAAAUCUGUAAAGCCACGUUACCAUUAGCACGCAGAGAGCCUUUUCUGGAGAUUGAAAGGAAGUUGAAGAGCUGGGUUAGCUAUCAUCGUAAGCUAUCAUCGUUAGUGAUGGCGUAAACCUGGCUGCUGUGUUAGAAGUUUGACUUCUCAGACUUACUGCCUGUGAAAAGCCCAACCAACCAUGUGAAGAAGAACUGAGGUUUGGGCCAACAGCCUCAGUUGAACUCCCAGCCAGCAGUCAACACCAACUUUUGCCAGCCACGUGAAGAAGGCCAUUUAAAAAGUGGAUUCUCCAGCCCACUGGAGCCACCUCAGGUGACUGCGUGUGGAGCAAAGAAAGGCUAUUUGAGCCCACAUUGCAAAAUUACAAGCAAAUAAAUAAAAUUAUUGUAGUUUUAAGCCACUAAGUUGUUUAAUAAUAGAUAGCUAAAAUGUACAGGCAAACUUGGAAGAUACUGUGGGUUGGGUUCCAGACCACUACAAUAAAGCCAAUAUCAUAAUAAAGUGAGUCACAGGGAUUUUUUUGUUUUGCAGUGCAUAUAAAAGUUAUGUUGGGCCGGCAUGGUGGCUCAGGCCUGUAAUCUCAGCACUUUGGGAGGCUGAGGCAGGUGGAUCGCUUGAGCUCAGGAGUUUGAGACCAACCUUGGUAACAUGGUAAGACCCCAUCUCUUAAAAAAAAAAAUACUAGGCCGGGUGUGGUGGCUCAUGCCUGUAAUCCUAGCACUUUGGGAGGCCGAGGUGGGUGGAUCACUUGAGGUCAGGAGUUUGAGACCAGCCUGGCCAACAUGGUGAAACCCGUCUCUAUUAAAAAUACAAAAAUUAGCCAAGCGUGGUGGUGGGCACCUGUAAUCCCAGCUACUUGGGAGGUUGAAACAGGAGAAUUGCUUGAACCUGGGAGGUGGAGGUUGCAGUGAGCCGAGAUCAUGCCAUUGCACUCCAGCCUGGGCAACAAGAGUGAAACUCCAUCUCAAAAAAAAAAAAAGAAAAAGUUAUGUUUACACUAUACUGUAGUCUCUUAAGUGUGCAAUAACAUGUUUAAAAAACAAUGUACAUACCUUAAUUUGAAAAUAUUAUAUCGCUUAAAAAUGUUGAUGAUCAUCUGAGCCUUCAGCAAGUCAUAUUUUUACUGGUGGAGGGUCUUGCCUUGAUGUUUGUUGACUAUCAAGGUGGUGGUUGCUGAAGGUUGGGGUGGCAUAAAAUAAGACAAUGAAGUUUGCUGCAUCAAUUGACUAUGCUUUUCAUGAAAGAUUUCUCUAUAGCAUGUGAUGCUGUUUGAAAGGAUUUUACCCACGGUAGAACUUCUUUCAAAAUUGGAGUUAGUCCUCUCAAACCCUGCUGCUGCUUUGUCAAUUAAGUUUAUAUGAUAUUUUAAAUCUUUUGUUGUCAUUUCAACAAUGUUCAUAGCAACUUCACCAUGAGUAGAUGUCAUCUCAAAAAACCACUUUGUCUAGAAGAAGCAACUCCUCAUCUCUUAAAGUUUUAUCAUGAGAUUGUAGCAAUUCAGUCACAUCUUCAGACUCCACUUCCAAUUCUAGUUCUCUUGCUGUUUCUACCACAUCUGCAGUUACAUCCCUCCAUAAAGUCUUAGACUCCUCAACAUCAACCAUGAGGGUUGGAAUCAACUUCUUCUAAACUCCAGUUAAUGUUGAUAUUUUCACCUCCUCCCAUGAAUCACAAAUGCUCUUAAUGGCAUCUAGGAGGGUGAAUCCUUUCCAAAAGGUUUUCAAUUGACUUUGCCCAGAUCCAUCAUAGGAAUUGCUAUCUAUGGCCGCCAUAACUUUACAAAAUAUAUUUCUUAAAUAAUAGACUUGAAAGUCAAAAGUACUUCUUGAUCCACAGGCUAAGGAAAAGAUUUUGUGUUAGCAGGCAUGAAAACAACAUUAAUCUCCUUGUACAUCUCGAUCAGAGCUAUAGGGUGACAAGGUGCACUAUCAAUGGUCAGUAAUUUUUUUUUUAAUGGAGACUGAGUCUUGCUGUGUUGCCUAGACUGGUCUCGAACUCCUGGCCUCAAGUGAUUUUCCUGCCUUGGCCUCCUUAAAUGUUGGGGUUACAGGCAUGAGCCACUGUGCCCAGCCUGCAAUAAUAUUUUGAUAGGAAUCUUUUUUUCUGAGGGGUAGGUAUCAAUAAUGAGCUUAACAUAUUCAGCAAACUGUAGGGUAAACAGAUAUGCUGUCAUCCAGGCUUUGUUGUUCCCUUUAUAGAACACAGGCAGAGUAGAUUUCGCAUAAUUUUUUUUUUAAGAGACAAGAUCUCUCUCCGUUGCCCAGACUGGAGUGCAGUGGUGUGAUCAUGGCUCACUGUAGCCUUGAUCUCCCAGGUUCAAGUGAUCUUCCUGCCUCAGGCUCCUGAGUAGCUGAGACUACAGGUGCAACUAAUUUUUGUGGGUUUUUUUGUAGAGAUAAAGUUUUGCCAUGUUGCCCAGGCUGGUCUCAAACUCCUGGGCUCCAGUGAUCUACACAGCUACCUUGGUGUGUCCCAAAGUGUUGGGGGUUAUAGGUGUGAGCCAGCAUGCCUGUCCUGACAGUUUUUUUUUUUUUUAAAGCACUUUAAAUGUAUUAUCCCACUGCGUUCUGGCAUCCAGGGUUUCUGCUGAGAAAAUGGCCAGUAGUCUUUUUUUUUUUCUUUUCCCUCAGAGUGAUUGGACUUCAGCUGAUAGUGUUAUUGAGGAUCACUUGUACAUUAUGAGUUGCUUCUCUCUUGCUGCUGUCAAGAUUCUCUGUCUUUCAACAGUUUGAUUAUAAUGUGUCUCAGUGUGAGUCUCUUUGGAUUUAUUUUACUUGGAGUUUAUUGAGAUUCUUGGAUUUGUAGAUUAGUGCCUUUCAUCAAAUUUGGGAAGUUUGCAGCCAUUUCUUCAAAUAAUCUUUUUGCCCCUUUCUCUAACCCCUCUUUGGGAAUCGUAAUGCAUAUGUUGGUCUACUUAAUGGUAUUCCACAAGUUCCUUGGUCUCUGUCCACUUUUCUUUUUUUCUUUUUUUGAGACAGAGCCUCACUCUGUUGCCCAGGCUAGAGUGCAGUGACACAAUCUUGGCUCACUGCAACCUCUGCCUCCCAGGUUCAAGCAAUUUUCCUGCCUCAGCCUUCUGAGUAGUUGGGAUUACAGGCACUCAUCACCAUGUCCAGCUAAUUUUUGUAUUUUUGGCAGAGAUAAGGUUUUGCUGUGUUGGCCAGGCUGUUUUCGAACUCCUGACCUCAAGUGAUCCACCCGCCUUGACCUCCCAAAGUGCUGAGAUUACAGGCAUGAGCCACCUCACUUGGCCUAUCCACUUUUCUUUAUUUAUUUUUCUUUAUGCUCCUCAGAUUUGAAAAUUUCAAUUGUCUUAUUUUCAAGUUCACUGAUUCUUCUGUGUUUGAGCUCCUCUAGUAAAUUUUCAUUUCAGUUAUUGUGUCUUUCAGCUAUAGAAUUUCUGUUUAGCUCCUUUUUACAAUUUUUGUCCCUUUCUUGGUUUUCUAAUUUUGUUAAUAUACCAUUUUCCUGAUUUCCUUUAGUUUUUUGCCCAUGUUUUCUUUUAGCUCUUUGAGCAAAUUUAAGACAAUUGUUUUAAAGUCUUUGGUAAGUCAAAUGUCUGGAUGUCCUCAGAAAUGGUUUCUGCCAAUUAAUUUUACUCCUUUGAAUGUGCCAUGUUUUCCUGUUUCUUUGUAUGCCUUGUAAUUUUUGUAGUUUUUGUUGAAAAGUAGACAUUUGAAAAAACAGCUAACUCCCCUAGUCUUUGCAGAUUGGCUCUAUACUGGUACAGUUCUUCAGCACUGAGCAAGGCUUGCUUUGAGCCUAGGGAUCAGCUGAGGUGAAGGCUUAAGGUCUUUUCAGGGCUUUUCUGACCAAGUGUCUUACCUGGGCAUGUGUAACUUCCCAAUUUCCCCAUAUACAUGGCUGCUUUUGAAUGUCUUAUUUCCUAAAGAGUCUCAGUCCGGUUUCUCCUGGGGCCUUACAUGGUCUACUGUAUGUAUCCACCCAUAGUCUUUUACUCCACAUGUCAGUGGGUCUGUAGUCUCCUUGCAGCUUUCAUGAGCAAUGACUACCGCUUUUCUGAGACCUGAGGCCAGUCCUUUAGGUAACCCCCAUAUGCGCACAAUAAUUUGCAAAAAGCUUUGCUCUUCUCCCUUCCAUUUAAGGGAGGGAACUUGGAAUUAGGCUGCUGCCUCUUCCAGACUAAGAGCACUGCCGCAUCAGGGAGGAGGAGGGGACGAGGGCAAAUAAAGACACGACAAAACUUUCUUAACAUUUGGAAGGUGGGCAUUCACUUGGUUACUGUAAACCUUUAACUGUUUUUUGGAGCUCUUACAGGUUAGUUCAGCUCAUUUCUGGUUGUUUUAUGAAGUUUCUGUUGGAUAAUGAAAGCUUGGAGCUUUGUCGUCCACCAUUUUGCUGAUAUCACAUGAGCAUCCAUUUUAAUAAGAUAGAAGAAAAGAGCACAUUGGACCUUAAGUAAGUGUAAGAAAAGGAAUAGAAAGUUAAGAGAAUAGGCCAGGCAUGGUGGCUCACACCUGUAAUCCCAGCACUUUGGGAGGCUGAGGUGGGCGGAUCACCGGAGGUCGGGAGUUCAAGACCAGCCUGACCAACAUGGAGAAACCCCGUCUCUACCAAAAAUACAAAAUUAGCUGGGCAUGGUGGCACAUGCAUGUAAUCCCAGCUACUCGGGAGGCUGAGGCAGGAGAAUCGCUUGAACCCGGGAGAUGGAGGUUACAGUGAGCACUCCAGCCUGGGCAACAGGAGUGAAACUUAAUCUCAAAAGAAAAAAAGAAAAAAAGAUCAGGAGUUCAAGACUAGCCUGAGCAACAUAGUGAGAUCUCAUCUCUAAAAAAAAUUUAGGGCCGGUGGCUCACACCUGUAAUCCAGCACUUUGAGAGGCUGAGGCAGGAGGAUCACAAGGUCAGGAGUUUGAGAGCAGCCUGGCUAACAUGGUGAAACCCCAUCUCUACUAAAAAUACAAAAAUUAGCUAGGCACAAUGGCUGGCGCCUGUAAUCCCAGCUACUUGGGAGGCUGAGGCAGGAGAAUUUCUUGAACCCAGGAGGCAGAGGUUGCAGUGAGCUGAGAUCGUGCCUUGCACUCCAGCUGGGGCGACAAGAGCAAGACUCCGUCUCAAAAAACAAAAACAAAAAAAUAAAAGAAAUAAUCUAUAUUUUGAUUAUUGUGGUGGUUAAGUAGGUGAAUACAUUUAUCAAAAUUCAGCAAACUAUUCAUUUAAAUGGGCACAUUUUAUGUAAGUUAUACAUAAAUAAAUUUUAUUCAUAAGUAAAAAAACAGUUUACAGAGGACACUUCCCUGUCAAAAUAGUACAUUUGUCUCGAUUAAUUCAUAUAUUUUGAGUGAAAAAUUUUAAAAAGUUUAUUCUCUGGAUAAUUACUUUGCCUUGUCACCUGGUAUGGACAUUUAGUCUUUGGUGCCUUAUGAGAUAAAUGAAUAAAGUGCUUGGGUAGUUCUGAUGAGAGAGAUUAUGUCUAAGAAUACAUCAGGGAUGGCUUCAUGGAGGAAACCAUUUUUAAUCUUGGCCUUAAUUAAUAGAUACAGAGAAAGAAAGAUAAAAAUAAAGAAAAUAGCAUGGCAUUCCAGGCAGAAUGAACAAUAAAGGAAAACAAUAUUGCCUUUUGCAAAAAUACACUGUUUUUUUUUUUGAGGGACUCUGUGUUUUCAUUGUUUGUAAUAUCACGUCUCCGUGUUAAAGACCUGUGUGUAAUUUUCAGUCAUUAAUUAUGCACGGAUGAUUUCUCCCUAUGCAGAAUGCUGUUUGGGCUUAAUCAGGCAAUCUUUUAAAAGAUGUAGUCUCUAGGGAUUUGCUAUUUAAGAAGUGGAACUAGCUACGUUAUAAUUAAAUAAUUCCUGCUACAGUACCAUGUAAAAGGUCAUUCAUCAUUCAACAUUUAUUUAUUCUACAAAAUAUUUAUCGAGUGCCCAUUAUAUAUCUGGUACUAUUCUAGGCAAUAGAGAUACACAUAAGUCAAUAUUUAUCCCUCAUGGGGCCUAAUAUUCUUUUUUUGUUCUUUUUUUUUAUUAUUAUACUUUACGUUCUAGGGUACACGUGCAUAACAUGCAGGUUUGUUACAUAUGUAUACAUGUGCCGUGUUGGUUUGCUGCACCCGUUAACUCAUCAUUUACAUUGGGUAUUUCUCCUAAUGGUAUCCUUCCCCCAUCCCCCCACCCCACGACAGGCCCCGGUGUGUGAUGUUCCCUGCCCUGUGUCCAAGUGUUCUCAUUGUUCAAUUCCCACCUAUGAGUGAGAACACGCGGUGUUCAGUUUUCUGUCCUUGUGAUAGUUUGCUCAGAAUGAUGGUUUCCAGCUUCAUCCGUGUCACUACAAAGGACAUGAACUCAUCCUUUUUUAUGGCUGCAUAGUAUUCCAUGGUAUAUAUGUGCUACGUUUUCUUAAUCCAGUCUAUCAUCAAUGGACAUUUAGGUUGGUUCCAAGUCUUUGCUAUUGUGAAUAGUGCCGCAAUAAACAUACGUGUGCAUGUGUCUUUAUAGUAUCAUGAUUUAUAAUCCUUUGGGUAUAUACCCAGUAAUGGGGUGGCUGGGUCAAAUGGUAUUUCUAGUUCUAGAUCCCUGAGGAAUCGCCACACUGUCUUCCACAAUGGUUGAACUAGUUUACAGUCCCACCAACAGUGUAAGUGUUCCUAUUUCUCCACAUCCUCUCCAGCACCUGUUGUUUCCUGACUUUUUAAUAAUUGCCAUUCUGACUGAUGUGAGAUGGUAUCUCACUGUGGUUUUGAUUUGCAUUUCUCUGAUGGCCAGUGAUGAUGAGCAUUUUUUCAUGUGUCUGUUGGCUGCAUAAAUGUCUUCUUUUGAGACGUGUCUGUUCAUAUCCUUUGCCCACUUUUCGAUGGGGUUGUUUGAUUUUUUUCUUGUAAAUUUGUUUAAGUUCUUUGUAGAUUUUGGAUAUUAGCCCUUUGUCAGAUGGGUAGAUUGCAAAAAUUUUCUCCCAUUCUGUAGGUUGCCUGUUCACUCUGAUGGUAGUUUCUUUUGCUGUGCAGAAGCUCUUGAGUUUAAUUAGAUCCCAUUUGUCUAUUUUGGUUUUGUUGCCAUUGCUAAUAUUCUUAAAUUAUAUUUAAUAUCAAACAUUCUAAGAAAUCACUCUGUAAUGAAUGUAAAACCACUUUGGGUAGAGAGUAUGAUACCAGUAGUUCUAUUUAAUCUUCCUUUUAAACAAAUAUAUAUUUAUUUUAAAACAUGGGUUUUUCAUGAUUUUUUUUUUGGUUAAAUUUUCAGCAAUGUGUUUAAUACUCCAGGAUACCAAAAAAAAAAAAAAAAAAAAAAAAGCCUGGGGAAUUUAUAGUCUAGAUAUGGAGAAAAUACCUAUACAUGACAUGAUUAAAGUACUUUUAAGUAGAGUGUGUAAUGAAGUUUGAGGUAACAAAAUACAACAGGGUAACUGUGAGGGUGAAAUUGACAUGGGGUCACAAUAUUCAGGGGACAUUUAUGAAGGAGUGUUGGUGAGAUUUUAGUUGGUGCUUCCAGGCAGAGGGAACAAGACAGCAGGCCUGGAAGCAGUGAUGAGUGGGGUAUGUGGAGGACACUGUGAAGACUGGCCUGUAAUAAAGUUUAACCUGUAAUUCCUUUAUAAAGAUUUCCACUUAGGAAAUUAAUCACAGUUAUAUUCAUAGAGGUUCAUUACAGUGUUAUUUAAAAUGAUGAAAAUUGGCCAGACGCGGUGGCUCACGCUUGUAAUCCCAGCACUUUGGGAGGCCGAGGCAGGUGGAUCACGAGGUCAGGAGUUUGAGACCAGCCUGACCAAUAUGGUGAAACCCCCUCUCUACUGAAAAUACAAAAAUUAGCUGGGUGUGGUGGCAUGUGCCUGUAGUCCCAGCUACUCAGGAGGCUGAGACAGGAUAAUUGCUUGAACCCAGGAGGCAGAGGUUGCAGUGAGCCUAGAUCACACCACUGCACUCCAGCCUGGGCAAUACAGGGAGACUCUGUCUCAAACAAACAAACAAAACUCCAAAAAAGAUGAAAAUUGGAGGGAAGUGAUGACAACUGUGACUGUUGUGUGACACUGAUUUCUCUCAUAUUUGUACUGGCUGAUCCUGAGGUGAGUCAAAAAAAGACAAAAAUGUAUAAAAAUAAAGAAAAAUAAAAUGAUUAAAAAAUGGAAACAACUGACAUUUUAAUCAAUAGGGGAAUAGAAAUGACUUAGACUGUAUUCAUUCAAUAGAGCAAUAUGUAGCCAUUUCAAAACAUGUUUUUGAUAACAAGGUGGUAAAAUGUCCAUGAUGAAAUAAAAAUGUUCAGGCCAGGCGCCGUGGCUCACGCCUGUAAUCCCAGAACUUUGGGAGGCUGAGGCGGGUGGAUCACGAGGUCAGGAGAUCGAGACCAUCCUGGCUAACAUGAUGAAACCCCAUCUCUACUAAAAAUACACGAAAAAAUUAGCCGGGUGUCGUGGCGGGUGUCGGUAGUCCCAGCUACUUGGGAGGCUGAGGCAGGAGAAUGGUGUGAACCCGGGAGGCAGAGGAGGUUGCAUGAGCCGAGAUUGUGCCACUGCACUCCAGCCUGGGUGACUGAGCAAGACUCCGUCUCAAAAAAAAAAAGAAAAAUGUUCAUAAUUAUGUAAAAGAAGCAGAAUAUAAAACUGUAAGUACAUUAUGAUGGUAAUUUUAUGAAAAUGAAAAAAAAUAUGUAUAUCUUAGAAAAAAAGCCUGGAACAAAAUACUCCAAACAUUUUAUUUACUUUAAUAUAAUUUAUGUAUUUAUUUUAUAGAGACAGGUUCUCCCUAUGUUGCCCAGGCUGGUCUUGAACUCCUGGGCUCAAGUGAUCCUUCUGCCUCAGCCUCCCAAAUUUCUGGGAUUACAGGCAUGAGCCACCAUGCCUGGCCUCCAAAUAUUUUAUGAUGGUUAUCACUUGUUGAUGGAAUUAUAGGUGAUUUUUAUUUCCAUCUUUAUAUUUUUCUGUAAUUUUAACAUUUAUUGUAAUGAUUACAUAUUUUGUUUAUGCUCUUAGAUAAUAUUUGUAUUAGUUUGCUAGAGCUGCCAUACCAAAAUACCAUGCACUUGGUUGCUUACACAACAGAAAUUCAUUUUCUCAUAGUUCUGGAGGCUAGAAGUCCAUGAUCAAGGUACCAGUAGGCCUGGUUUCUUCUGAAGCCUGAUUCCGUGGUUUGCAGGUGGCUACUUUCCCACUCUGUCUUCAUAUGGUUUUCCCUCUGUCUGCACAUGUUUCUGGUGUCUCCUGGUAUGCCUAAAUUUCUCCUUCUUACAAGGACACCAGUCAUAUUGGAUUAGGGCCCACCCUGAAAAAAAAACAGAGCACCUCAUUUUAACCUAAGCAAUGCUUUAAAGACCUUAUCUUCAAAUAUAGUCACAUUCUCAAGUACUGGGGCUUAGGACUUACACAAAUUUUGGGAAGACACAAUUCAACCUAUACACUAAUUUAAAAAGUAAUUGGUAUAUUAUUGGUAAUACAGACACAAAAACUGGGGCAAGCCUGACUAGAGUAGAAAGAUAUGUGGCAAAUAGCAAUAGGAGGGUAGGUGAAAUAACUUCAAUGAUACCUUAAUUAUUGAUUGUUCACUGUGUACUGGGCAUUGUAUUAAGAUAUCUUGACUGUCUCACGAAAUCAUUGAUUUAAAUAUUGAUUUAAUGUGGCAUCAAGUUUGGGAAAACAUUGAAUCAUGACAAGCUGCGGACUUUGGGUAGACAUAAGGAAUGAUUUCAAGGUAGGAAAAUGACACGAGGAAGAGUAUUUUAUUUAUUUAUUAUUAUUAUUAUUAUUAUUAUUAUUAUUAUUAUUAUUAUUAUUAUUUUGAGAUGGAGUCUCGCUCUGUUGCCCAGGCUGGAGUGCAGUGGCACAAUCUCGGCUCACUGCGACCUCCGCCUCUUGGGUUCAAGUGAUUCUCCUGCCUCAGCCUCCCGAGUAGCUGGGAUUACAGGUGUGCACCACCAUGCCUGGCUAAUUUUGUAUUUUUAGUGGAGACGGGGUUUCCCCAUGUUGGCCAGGCUGGUCUCAAACUGCUGACGUCAGAUGAUCCACUGGCCUCAGCCUCCUUACAGGCGUGAGGCACAGUGCCUGGCCAUUUAUUUUUAUUAUUUUUUUUGAGACGGAGUCUGACUCUGUCACUCAGGCUAGAGUGCAGUGGCAUGAUCUCGACUCACUGCAACCUCUGCCUCCCGGGUUCAAGUGAUUCUUUUGCCUCAGCCUCCUGAGUAGCUGGGACUACAGACAUGCACCACCACGCCUGGCUAAUUUUUGUAUUUUUAAUAGAGAUGGGUUUCACCAGUUGGCUAGGCUGGUCUCAAACUCCUGAACUGUAAUCUGCUUGCCUCAGCCUCCCAAAGUGCUAGGAUUAGAUGCAUGAGCCACUGUGCCCGGCCACAGGAAGGGUAUUUUAGGAAGAUUAGUUUGGUAACAGAAUGGAUUAGUGGGCCAGGCACAGUGGCUCAUCCCUGUAAUCCCAGCACUUCGGGAGGCGGAGGCGGGUGGAUCACUUGAGGUCAGGAGUUCGAGAUCAGCCUGGCUAACAUGGUGAAACCCUGUCUCUACUAAAAAUACAAAAAUUAGCUGGGCAUGAUAAUGGGUGCCUGUAAUCCCAGCUACUCGGGAGGCUGAGGCAGGAGAAUCGCUUGAACCUGGGAGGCGGAGGUUGCAAUGAGCCUUGCCAUUGCACUCCAGUCUGGAAGAUAACAGUGAAACUCUGUCUCAAAAAAAAAAAAAAAAAAGAAUGGAUUAGUGUCAGUUUAAUUUCAGGGAUCAGCAAACUUUUCUGUGAAGGACUAGAAAGUAAAUAUUUUGGGGCAUACAUAUGGUCUCUGUUGCAAAUACUGAACUCUGUCAUUAUAAUGUGAAAGCAGUGACAGACAAUAACUAAAUGAAUGAGCAUGGCAGCUGCUAAAUCUCAGGUUUAAGCUAAAGCUACCUUCUUACAUAUUUUAAGUUCAGCCUAAAGGUUUCUUUGUACAUUGUGAACUACAACCUAAAUGGAAUUGUAAACAGACUGUAGCCUACUCUUGUGCCAAUCACUGUUUCGGCCAAUCAAACAUGGCCAACUGUUCAAACUGUUCAAAUAGGGCAAAUGCCGAGCUACAAGCAAUCCGGCUGUUUCUGUACCUCAUUUCCAUUUUCUGUAUGUCACUUUCCUUUUUCUGACCACGUGGCUGCUCUAGAGUCUCUGAGGAUACUCUAGCUCGGGAGGCUGUCUGAUUCAUGAAUCAUUUUUUUGCUCAAUUAACUGUUUUAAAUUUAAUUCGGCUGAAGUUUUUCUUUUAACUCAGUGUACCAAUAAAACUUAUGUACAAGGAAAAUUGCAAUGUUCCCAACACAAAGAAAAGAUAAAUGUUUGAGGUGAAGGAUAUCCAAAUUAUACUGAUUUGAUCAUUACACAUUGUAUACAGGUAUUAAAAUAACACACAUACCCCCCCAAAUAUGAACAACUAUUAUAUAUUAGUUAAAAAACCCUUGAUGUACAAGAACAGGUGGUGGGCUAGAUUUGGCUGAUUGGCCACUGUGUGGUGACUCCUGGAGUAGACCAUGUAGAAGGGACAGUAGCAGAUAAAAACUGGAGGUUCAAGCCAAGUUAGGAAGAAAAUACGGCAAUAAUUAAUAUCUGCAGUGAGGAGGGCCAGAAUUAAGCUGGGCCAAUGUGAUGGAAAUGGAGAUAUAUUGGAGCCCUUUUAGGGUAAAAGGACUGCAGACCAGGUGAUGACUGGAAUGCAGAACUUGAAGUGGAGAAAAUGAAAGAUUUUGGGGAUUCUGAGCAGGGAAGUGGGGAAAGGGCAGGGCAGUGCCACCGACAUAAAUGGAUACAUCCAUGAACUGGCCAUUUGCCUGGAUGCUCCCAAAUCCUUUUCUGCUCUUACCCUCUCUAACUCAUAUCACGUGAAACUACUUGCCCCCUGGCUUCUGAGUGGGUUCUGGCAAUGGAAGUGUAAACCAAAAAUAAAAUUCUAAGACCCCUCCUCUUGGCCAAGGGCAUUCCAGAAUUAACCUGAAAAACUAGCUCAGGCCAUGAUGGAAGAGAGGGUUGGAAAUGCCUCGUUAUACCCUCUUCCCUUUUGGAAUUCAGGAAAAGCCCGACCAGCAUUGACCAACACAGAUCUUAAGUCUGAUCAGAAACAUUUACAAUCUACUCUCUCAGAAGCCCGCUACCUGGAUGCUUCAAGUGCAGGAUAAAACCUUGGUUUACACAACCCCUCACUGUAACCCAGACAUUCCUUUCUACUGAUAGUAACACUUUCAACCUGAUGCCAAUCAGAUAAUGGUUUCUUUUUUCUUUUUUUGAAGCAGAGUUUCACUCUUGUUGCCCAAGCUGGAGUGCAGUGGCGUGAUCUUGGCUUACCGCAACCUCUGCUUCGCGGGUUCAAGCGAUUCUCCUGCCUCAGCCUCCUUGGUAGCUGGGUUUACAGGCAUGCACCACGAUGCCUGGCUAAUUUUGUAUUUUUAGUAGAGACAGGCUGGGCACGGUGGCUCACACCUGUAAUCCCAGCACUUUGGAAGACUGAGGCGGGUGGAUCAGGAGUUUGAGACCAGCCUGACCAACAUGGUGAAACCCCGUCUCUACUAAAAAUACAAAAAUUAGCCAGGCAUGGUGGUGUGUGCCUGUAGUCCCAGCUACUCAGGAGGCUGAGGCAGGAGAACUGCUUGAACCUGGGAGGUGGAGGUUGCAGUGAGCCGAGAUCAUGCCACUGCACUCCAGCCUGGGUGACAGAGUGAGACUCCAUCUCAAGAAAAAAAAAAUAACUAAAACAAAUUAGCCGCGCAUGGUGGUGUACACCUUUGGUCCCAGCUACUAGGGUGGCUGAGGUGGG